rnacentral:rRNA from 1 species
GAAAGGCUAAUCAAGCCUGGUGAUAGCUGGUUCUCCCCGAAAGCUAUUUAGGUAGCGCCUCGGACGAAUACCAUUGGGGGUAGAGCACUGUUUCGGCUAGGGGGUCAUCCCGACUUACCAAACCGAUGCAAACUCCGAAUACCAAUGAGUACUAUCCGGGAGACAGACUGCGGGUGCUAACGUCCGUAGUCAAGAGGAAAACAAUCCAGACCGCCAGCUAAGGCCCCAAAAUCAUAGUUAAGUGGGAAACGAUGUGGGAAGGCAUAGACAGCUAGGAGGUUGGCUUAGAAGCAGCCACCCUUUAAAGAAAGCGUAAUAGCUCACUAGUCGAGUCGGCCUGCGCGGAAGAUGUAACGGGGCUAAAACUAUGUGCCGAAGCUGCGGAUUUACGCAUUAGCGUAAGUGGUAGGGGAGCGUUCUGUAAGCCGAUGAAGGUGUAUUGAGAAGUAUGCUGGAGGUAUCAGAAGUGCGAAUGCUGACGUGAGUAACGACAAAACGGGUGAAAAACCCGUUCGCUGAAAGACCAAGGGUUCCAGUCCAACGUUAAUCGGGGCUGGGUGAGUCGACCCCUAAGGCGAGGCCGAGAGGCGUAGUCGAUGGGAAAUUGGUUAAUAUUCCAAUACUUCUGUGUAAUGCGAUGAGAGGACGGAGAAGGUUAAGUCAGCCUGGCGUUGGUUGUCCAGGUGGAAGGCUGUAGGCAUGCAUCUUAGGCAAAUCCGGGGUGCUCUAUGCUGAGAGCUGAUAGCAAGCUGUACUUGUACAGUGAAGUGGCUGAUACCAUGCUUCCAGGAAAAGUCUCUAAGCUUCAGUUACACAGGAAUCGUACCCGAAACCGACACAGGUGGUCAGGUCGAGUAGACCAAAGCGCUUGAGAGAACUCUGCUGAAGGAACUAGGCAAAAUGGUACCGUAACUUCGGGAGAAGGUACGCUGCUGACGGUGAUGGGACUUGCUCCCUGAGCUAUUGGCAGCCACAGAAACCAGGCCGCUGCAACUGUUUAUUAAAAACAUAGCACUCUGCAAACACGAAAGUGGACGUAUAGGGUGUGAUGCCUGCCCGGUGCUGGAAGGUUAAUUGAUGGGGUUAGCGUAAGCGAAGCUCUUGAUCGAAGCCCCAGUAAACGGCGGCCGUAACUAUAACGGUCCUAAGGUAGCGAAAUUCCUUGUCGGGUAAGUUCCGACCUGCACGAAUGGCAUAAUGAUGGCGGCGCUGUCUCCAGCAGAGGCUCAGUGAAAUCGAAAUCGCUGUGAAGAUGCAGUGUACCCGCGGCUAGACGGAAAGACCCCGUGAACCUUUACUGCAGCUUGACAUUGAACUUUGACCUUACUUGUGUAGGAUAGGUGGGAGGCUUUGAAGUUAGAACGCUAGUUCUAAUGGAGCCGUCCUUGAAAUACCACCCUGGUAAUGUUGAGGUUCUAACUCUGCCCCGUAAUCCGGGGCGAGGACCAUGUCUGGUGGGUAGUUUGACUGGGGCGGUCUCCUCCUAAAGAGUAACGGAGGAGUACGAAGGUGCGCUCAGCGUGGUCGGAAAUCACGCGUAGAGUAUAAAGGCAAAAGCGCGCUUAACUGCGAGACCCACAAGUCGAGCAGGUACGAAAGUAGGUCUUAGUGAUCCGGUGGUUCUGUAUGGAAGGGCCAUCGCUCAACGGAUAAAAGGUACUCUGGGGAUAACAGGCUGAUACCGCCCAAGAGUUCAUAUCGACGGCGGUGUUUGGCACCUCGAUGUCGGCUCAUCUCAUCCUGGGGCUGAAGCAGGUCCCAAGGGUAUGGCUGUUCGCCAUUUAAAGAGGUACGCGAGCUGGGUUUAGAACGUCGUGAGACAGUUCGGUCCCUAUCUACCGUGGGCGCUGGAAAUUUGAGAGGAUCUGCUCCUAGUACGAGAGGACCAGAGUGGACGAACCUCUGGUGUACCGGUUGUCACGCCAGUGGCAUCGCCGGGUAGCUAUGUUCGGAAGGGAUAACCGCUGAAAGCAUCUAAGCGGGAAGCCUACCUCAAGAUAAGAUUUCCCUAGGACUUUAUGUCCUCUAAAGAGCCGUUCGAGACUAGGACGUUGAUAGGUUGGGUGUGGAAGCACGGUGACGUGUGAAGCUGACCAAUACUAAUUGCUCGUGAGGCUUGACUAU